rnacentral:tRNA from 1 species
AGCCCCGUAGUACAGUGGUCAAGUAUCUUCGGUUCUGGUCCGGAGGACCCAGGUUCGAAUCCUGGCGGGGCUA